AGUGAACGCUGGCGGUAGGCCUAACACAUGCAAGUCGAACGGCAGCACAGGAGAGCUUGCUCUCUGGGUGGCGAGUGGCGGACGGGUGAGGAAUACAUCGGAAUCUGCCCAGUCGUGGGGGAUAACGUAGGGAAACUUACGCUAAUACCGCAUACGACCUUCGGGUGAAAGAGGGGGAUCGCAAGACCUCUCGCGAUUGGAUGAGCCGAUGUCGGAUUAGCUAGUUGGCGGGGUAAUGGCCCACCAAGGCGACGAUCCGUAGCUGGUCUGAGAGGAUGAUCAGCCACACUGGAACUGAGACACGGUCCAGACUCCUACGGGAGGCAGCAGUGGGGAAUAUUGGACAAUGGGCGCAAGCCUGAUCCAGCCAUACCGCGCGGGUGAAGAAGGCCUUCGGGUUGUAAAGCCCUUUUGUUGGGAAAGAAAUCUUUCAGGCUAAUACCCUGGGAGGAUGACGGUACCCAAAGAAUAAGCACCGGCUAACUUCGUG
rnacentral:rRNA from 1 species